rnacentral:rRNA from 1 species
UGUUGCAGUUAAAAAGCUCGUAGUCGGAUGUCGGGCUCGGGGAGGCUGUCGGCCUUUGGUCGGACGGCAUGUCCGGGCCUUUCUGCCUGGGGAUCCUAUUCUACUUAACUGUAGGGUAGUGGGACGCAGGCCGUUUACUUUGAAAAAAUUAGAGUGUUCAAAGCAGGCCUACGCUUGAAUACAUUAGCAUGGAAUAAUGGAAUAGGACUUUGGUCUUAUUUGUUGGUUUAUGGGACCGAAGUAAUGAUUAACAGGGACAGUUGGGGCCGUUUAUAUUUCGUUGUCAGAGGUGAAAUUCUUGGAUUUACGAAAGAUAAACUUCUGCGAAAGCAUUCGGCAAGGAUGUUUUCAUUGAUCAAGAACGAAAGUUAGGGGAUCGAAGACGAUCAGAUACCGUCGUAGUCUUAACCAUAAACUAUGCC